rnacentral:rRNA from 1 species
UAGGGAAUAUUGGACAAUGGGUGAGAGCCUGAUCCAGCCAUGCCGCGUGCAGGAAGAAGGCGUUAUGCGUUGUAAACUGCUUUUGCCAGGGGAUAAAAAGACCGUGCGCGGUUAAUUGAAGGUACCUGGUGAAUAAGCCACGGCUAACUACGUGCCAGCAGCCGCGGUAAUACGUAGGUGGCAAGCGUUGUCCGGAUUUAUUGGGUUUAAAGGGUGCGUAGGUGGCCCUGUAAGUCAGUGGUGAAAUAUCUCAGCUUAACUGAGAGGGUGCCAUUGAUACUGCAGGGCUUGAGUACAGAUGAGGUAGGCGGAAUUGACGGUGUAGCGGCGAAAUGCAUAGAUAUCUGGAGGAACACCGGUGGCGAAGGCGACAUCCUGGACCAAUUCUGACGCUGAGGAGCGAAAGCCAGGGGAGCAAACGGGAUUAGAUACCCCCGUAGUCCCUGAGCGGGCUGGCAAGGCGCAU